rnacentral:rRNA from 1 species
AGAGUUUGAACCUGGCUCAGAAUGAACGCUAGCUACAGGCUUAACACAUGCAAGUCGAGGGGCAGCGAGAGGAAAGCUUGCUUUCUUUGUCGGCGACCGGCGCACGGGUGAGUAACGCGUAUCCAACCUUCCCCUUAGUAGGGCAUAGCCCGGCGAAAGUCGGAUUAAUACCCUAUGUUCUUCGUAGAGGACAUCUGAAAUGAAGCAAAGACUUGUCGCUAAGGGAUGGGGAUGCGUCUGAUUAGGUAGUCGGCGGGGUAACGGCCCACCGAGCCUGCGAUCAGUAGGGGUUCUGAGAGGAAGGUCCCCCACAUUGGAACUGAGACACGGUCCAAACUCCUACGGGAGGCAGCAGUGAGGAAUAUUGGUCAAUGGGCGCGAGCCUGAACCAUUUUUUUUUUCGUGCAGGAUGACGGCCCUAUGGGUUGUAAACUGCUUUUAUGCGGGGAUAAAGUGCACCACGUGUGGUGUUUUGUAGGUACCGCAUGAAUAAGGACCGGCUAAUUCCGUGCCAGCAGCCGCGGUAAUACGGAAGGUCCGGGCGUUAUCCGGAUUUAUUGGGUUUAAAGGGAGCGCAGGCUGAUUGUUAAGCGUGACGUGAAAUGUAGCCGCUCAACGGCUGAACUGCGUCGCGAACUGGCAGUCUUGAGUGAGUACGACGUCAGCGGAAUUCGUGGUGUAGCGGUGAAAUGCUUAGAUAUCACGAAGAACCCCGAUUGCGAAGGCAGCUGACGAGUCCUUUACUGACGCUAAAGCUCGAAGGUGCGGGUAUCGAACAGGAUUAGAUACCCUGGUAGUCCGCACGGUAAACGAUGGGUGCCCGCUGUUGGCGAUACAAUGUCAGCGGCCAAGCGAAAGCGUUAAGCAUCCCACCUGGGGAGUACGCCGGCAACGGUGAAACUCAAAGGAAUUGACGGGGGCCCGCACAAGCGGAGGAACAUGUGGUUUAAUUCGAUGAUACGCGAGGAACCUUACCCGGGCUUGAACUGCAGGGGAACGAUAGAGAGAUCUUGAGGUCAGCAAUGACCCCUGUGGAGGUGCUGCAUGGUUGUCGUCAGCUCGUGCCGUGAGGUGUCGGCUUAAGUGCCAUAACGAGCGCAACCCUUGUCUGUAGUUGCCAUCAGGUGAAAAAAAAAAACUCUGCGGAUACUGCCACCGUAAGGUGUGAGGAAGGUGGGGAUGACGUCAAAUCAGCACGGCCCUUACGUCCGGGGCUACACACGUGUUACAAUGGGGUGUACAGAGAGUCGGUGCAUGGCAAUAUGCAUCCAAUCCUUAAAGCACUCCUCAGUUCGGAUUGGGGUCUGCAACCCGACCCCAUGAAGCUGGAUUCGCUAGUAAUCGCGCAUCAGCCAUGGCGCGGUGAAUACGUUCCCGGGCCUUGUACACACCGCCCGUCAAGCCAUGAAAGCCGGGGGCGCCUGAAGUCCGUGACCGCGAGGGUCGGCCUAGGGUGAAACCGGUGAGGGGGAAUAAGUCGUAACAAGGUAACC